CAGGCAAAUUAAUGUUUGGUUGAGUAAACACUGACAAGGUGGAGCAGGCAAAUUAAUGUUUGGUUGAGUAAACACUGACAAGGUGGAGCAGGCAAAUUAAUGUUUGGUUGAGUAAACACUGACAAGGUGGAGCAGGCAAAUUAAUGUUUGAUUGAGUAAACACUGACAAGGUGGAGCAGGCACAUUAAUGUUUGGUUGAGUAAACACUGACAACGGGAGCAGGCACAUUAAUGUUUGGUUGAGUUAACACUGACAAGGUGGAGCAGGCACAUUAAUGUUUGGUUGAGUAAACACUGACAACGGGAGCAGGCACAUUAAUGUUUGGUUGAGUUAACACUGACAAGGUGGAGCAGGCAAAUUAAUGUUUGGUUGAGUAAACACUGACAAGGUGGAGCAGGCACAUUAAUGUUUGGUUGAGUAAACACUGACAAGGUGGAGCAGGCACAUUAAUGUUUGGUUGAGUAAACACUGACAACGGGAGCAGGCACAUUAAUGUUUGGUUGAGU